GAUGAAGAACGUAGCAAAAUGCGAUACUUGGUGUGAAUUGCAGAAUCCCGUGAACCAUCGAGUUUUUGAACGCAAGUUGCGCCCGAAGCCUUUUGGCCGAGGGCACGUCUGCCUGGGCGUCACGCAUCGCGUCGCCCCCCACAAUUCUCCGUAAAGGGAACGUGUGUUUUGGGGGCGGAUAUUGGUCUCCCGUGCUCAUGGCGUGGUUGGCCGAAAUAGGAGUCCUUUCGAUGGACGCACGAACUAGUGGUGGUCGUAAAAACCCUCGUCUUUUGUUUCGUGCUGUUGCUCGCAAGGUAAACUCUUUAAAAACCCCAAUGUGUCGUCUCUUGACGACGCUUCGACCGCGACCCCAGGUCAGGCGGGACUACCCGCUGAGUUUAAGCAUAUCAAUAAGCGAAGGA
rnacentral:misc_RNA from 1 species